rnacentral:rRNA from 1 species
AGUGAACGCUGGCGGUAGGCCUAACACAUGCAAGUCGAACGGCAGCACAGUAAGAGCCUGCUCUUACGGGUGGCGGGUGGCGGACGGGUGAGGAAUACAUCGGAAUCUACUUUUUCGUGGGGGUUAACGUAGGGAAACUUACGCUAAUACCUCAUACGACCUACGGGUGAAAGCAGGGGAUCUUCGGACCUUGCCCGAUUGAAUGAGCCGAUGUCGGAUUAGCUAGUUGGCGGGGUAAAGGCCCACCAAGGCGACGAUCCUUAGCUGGUCUGAGAGGAUGAGCAGCCACACUGGAACUGAGACACGGUCCAGACUCCUACGGGAGGCAGCAGUGGGGAAUAUUGGACAAUGGGCGCAAGCCUGAUCCAGCCAUACCGCGUGGGUGCAGAAGGCCUUCGGGUUGUAAAGCCCUUUUGUUGGGAAAGAAAAGCAGCAGGUUAAUACCCCGCUGUUCUGACGGUACCCACAGAAUAAGCACCGGCUAACUUCGUG